AUUGAACGCUGGCGGCAGGCUUAACACAUGCAAGUCGAGCGGAGAUGAGGUGCUUGCACCUUAUCUUAGCGGCGGACGGGUGAGUAAUGCUUAGGAAUCUGCCUAUUAGUGGGGGACAACAUUCCGAAAGGAAUGCUAAUACCGCAUACGUCCUACGGGAGAAAGCAGGGGAUCUUCGGACCUUGCGCUAAUAGAUGAGCCUAAGUCGGAUUAGCUAGUUGGUGGGGUAAAGGCCUACCAAAGCGACGAUCUGUAGCGGGUCUGAGAGGAUGGUCCGCCACACUGGGACAGAGACACGGCCCAGACUCCUACGGGAGGCAGCAGUGGGGAAUAUUGGACAAUGGGGGGAACCCUGAUCCAGCCAUGCCGCGUGUGUGAAGAAGGCCUUAUGGUUGUAAAGCACUUUAAGCGAGGAGGAGGCUACUGAGACUAAUACUCUUGGAUAGUGGACGUUACUCGCAGAAUAAGCACCGGCUAACUCUGUGCCAGCCGCCGCCGUAAAAC
rnacentral:rRNA from 1 species